UAACGUCUCAGUGCUCUCCACCCACAGGCCGGGAAACGAUAAGUGGCGUCGGGUGUGGGGAAGCCGUCCUGGCAAGUCCUGUGCUGCUGGAAUAGCGCGGCUGUAUGGACCGGCAUCCCGACCAUCCCGAGGCUUCAGGAGGAAAACUUGAACCAUCAGUACUAUCCAGACCGCAAUCUCCAGCUCUAAAAUCCUAACCACAAGAUUGACAACUAUCCCACCAUUGACAUGACCUCCAGUGUCCAUCUACCUGGAUGCACCUCUUCCUUCCCGAAGGACCUAAGACUAGACUAGACUGACUAACAUCAGUUCAAUUGAGAACUCAUUUCUGAGAUGACACCUCUGCAAUUAUUGUAUGUUUUCCUUUGUUUUUUCAAACUUCAAUUAUACAGAGUCACCAGGGUGGUGUCCUAACUCUUUAUCACCGUAUGUCUGAUCUCUUACACAAUGUUUGCCACAGAGAUAUUUUAGUUGUCCCUAAAAUGUUCGUUCAGGUGUCACUUGGCGUAUCUGUAACCCUGUUUUCAGUCAAUGUGAAAACAACUUCUCAUUAAA